rnacentral:rRNA from 1 species
UCCUACGGGAGGCAGCAGUGGGGAAUAUUGCACAAUGGGGGGAACCCUGAUGCAGCCAUGCCGCGUGAAUGAAGAAGGCCUUCGGGUUGUAAAGUUCUUUCGGUGAUGAGGAAGGUGUUUUGUUUAAUAGACAAAGCAAUUGACGUUAGUCACAGAAGAAGCACCGGCUAACUCCGUGCCAGCAGCCGCGGUAAUACGGAGGGUGCGAGCGUUAAUCGGAAUAACUGGGCGUAAAGGGCACGCAGGCGGAUUGUUAAGUGAGAUGUGAAAGCCCCGGGCUUAACCUGGGAAUUGCAUUUCAGACUGGCAGUCUAGAGUAUUUUAGGGAGGGGUAGAAUUCCACGUGUAGCGGUGAAAUGCGUAGAGAUGUGGAGGAAUACCGAAGGCGAAGGCAGCCCCUUGGGAAUAUACUGACGCUCAUGUGCGAAAGCGUGGGGAGCAAACAGGAUUAGAUACCCUGGUAGUCC